AUUGAACGCUGGCGGCAGGCCUAACACAUGCAAGUCGAACGAGUGGCGGACGGGUGAGUAAUGGCUGGGAAACUGCCUGAUGGAGGGGGAUAACUACUGGAAACGGUAGCUAAUACCGCAUACCAUCGGAUGUGCCCAGAUGGGAUGAGCUAGUAGGUGGGGUAAAGGCUCACCUAGGCGACGAUCCCUAGCUGGUCUGAGAGGAGGACCAGCCAAGUUGGAAAUGAUACACGGUCCAGAUUCCUACGGGAGGCAGCAGUGGGGAAUAGUGAACAAUGGGCGCAAUCCUGAUGCAGCCAUGACGCGUGUGUGAAGAAGGCCUUCGGGUUGUAAAGUACUUUCAGCGGGGAGGCGUUACCCGCAGAAGAAGCACCGGCUAACUCCGUGCCAGCCGCCGCGGUAAUAC
rnacentral:rRNA from 1 species